rnacentral:RNase_P_RNA from 1 species
UGAGCAAACCGGGUGACCGCUCUCCGCCGCAUGGCGUGGCGGGGAGAGGAAAGUCCGAACUCCACAGGGCAACCUAGCGGGUAAUGCCCGUCCACCGUGAGGUGCGGAUUCGAGCCACAGUGACGAUGCCCCCAGCUUUGCACCGCUGACUCGGUUGGCGGAAUGCUGCGGCGGGGGAGUGAAACGCGGCAAUCUCUAGGUGGAGCAAGAGCAAAUAGGGGAGGAGUCCACUGCCAUGCGCAGCGGAUACGUGUGCCCCUCACGUUAGAACUCCCGGGUCGCUCGCUUGAGGUGCUUGGCAACAGGCAUCCCAGAUAAAUGGUCACCUCCCGUCACAUACCGUUGCGGGAACAGAAUUCGGCUUAUAGGUUUGCUCGCUCA